rnacentral:rRNA from 1 species
GACGAACGCUGGCGGCGUGCCUAAUACAUGCGAGUAGAACGCUGAAGAGAGGAGCUUACUCUUCUUGGAUGAGUUGCGAACGGGUGAGUAACGCGUAGGUAACCUGCCUUGUAGCGGGGGAUAACUAUUGGGAACGAUAGCUAAUACCGCAUAACAAUGGAUGACACAUGUCAUUUAUUUGAAAGGGGCAAUUGCUCCACUACAAGAUGGACCUGCGUUGUAUUAGCUAGUAGGUGAGGUAAUGGCUCACCUAGGCGACGAUACAUAGCCGACCUGAGAGGGUGAUCUGCCACACUGGGACUGAGACACGGCCCAGACUCCUACGGGAGGCAGCAGUAGGGAAGCUGCGGCAAUGAGGGCAACCCUGACCGAGCAACGCCGCGUGAGUGAAGAAGGUUUUCGGAUCGUAAAGCUCUGUUGUAAGUCAAGAACGGGUGUGAGAGUGGAAAGUUCACACUGUGACGGUAGCUUACCAGAAAGGGACGGCUAACUACGUG